AUAGAUAAGGCAUCUAGUUCUGAAAGUCAACUGGUGGAUGUGAUGGCGACCAAACCAGAUUUUGAUGGAGAGGUAAAAAGGUCUUUUCUUGAGUAACCCAUAAUCUGAUUGAAGGCAUCUUCCAGCAAGUGGUCUCUCCUGAUGAUUAAUCUGCACAGCAAGCGUGGGAAACCUUGCCCUACUUGGACACCACCUGACGAUGGCUGAGGAGCUGAGCAGAGAACCAAAUGAGAAGACAUGGAGAUGAGACUGAAGUGCGCUUUUUAUGGCCUUGCAGCUGACAGGCUGGAUGCAUGCGUGCAAGAUCCUGAAAGA